GGCAGGAGAUGUGGCGGGUGCAACCGGCUAGUUUAUGGAGCUCUGCGGCAGCUGAUCCCGUCUGCCACCCGAUUGUCCUUAGUUGUGAUCCCAAGCUGCGGAGCUAAGCGGCGCGUGGACUGCGGCUGUGGAGCAGGAAGGGCUCGUAGGACAACUCUUGGGUGAAGCACGGCUGUAGUCCAUUAAAUUUCCUGGAGCUUCCUGAGACAAGAUCGUGGAGGGCGGCCACACACCCGCAGCCUGCAUCAUGCCAGCGCUGGCCACAGGAUCUGCCUGCGACACGGGUCUGUACGAGCUGUUGGCUGCUCUGCCUGCCCAGCUGCAGCCACAUGUGGAUAGCCAGGAGGACCUGACCUUCCUCUGGGACAUGUUUGGUGAAAAGAGCCUGCAUUCACUGGUCAAGGUAAACCACACUGAUGUCAGCUUCUCUUUGCAAAAAGCAGAUGGAAAAAAUAUUUCGAGUGCCAUCUAGUAGACCAAAGAUGAAAUUGUUACCGCCUCAAAACAAAACAGCCUUGUUCUAUUUCAUGGCCGGGGUGUGGAAGUUGUUAAAGAUCUUACCAAAAAUACAUACAUGACUUCACUGAAG